CCUACGGGAGGCUGCAGUGAGGAAUAUUGGUCAAUGGGCGCGAGCCUGAACCAGCCAAGUCGCGUGAGGGAAGACGGUCCUAUGGAUUGUAAACCUCUUUUGUCGGGGAGCAAAAGACGCCACGCGUGGCGUUCCGAGAGUACCCGAAGAAAAAGCAUCGGCUAACUCCGUGCCAGAAGCCGCGUAUUACGGAGGAUGUGAGAGUUAGCCCGGUUUAUUUGGGUAUAAGGGGGCGCAGGGGGGAGAGCAAGUCAGCGGUAAAAUUGAGAGGCUAAACCUCUUUGAGCCGUUGAAACUGGUUGUCUUGAGUGAGUGAGAAGUAUGCGGAAUGCGUGGUGUAGCGGUGAAAUGCAUAGAUAUCACGCAGAACUCCGAUUGCGAAGGCAGCAGACCGGCGCUCAACUGACGCUCAUGCACGAAAGUGUGGGUAUCGAACAGGAUUAGAUACCCCAGUAGUC
rnacentral:rRNA from 1 species